GAUGAACGCUGGCGGCGUGCCUAAUACAUGCAAGUAGAACGCUGAAGGAGGAGCUUGCUCUUCUGGAUGAGUUGCGAACGGGUGAGUAACGCGUAGGUAACCUGCCUGGUAGCGGGGGAUAACUAUUGGAAACGAUAGCUAAUACCGCAUGACAACAGUUAUUGCAUGAUAACUGUUUAAAAGAGGCACCUGCUCCACUACCAGAUGGACCUGCGUUGUAUUAGCUAGUUGGUGAGGUAACGGCUCACCAAGGCGACGAUACAUAGCCGACCUGAGAGGGUGAUCGGCCACACUGGGACUGAGACACGGCCCAGACUCCUACGGGAGGCAGCAGUAGGGAAUCUUCGGCAAUGGACGGAAGUCUGACCGAGCAACGCCGCGUGAGUGAAGAAGGUUUUCGGAUCGUAAAGCUCUGUUGUAAGAGAAGAACGAGUGUGAGAGUGGAAAGUUCACACUGUGACGGUAUCUUACCAGAAAGAGACGGCUAACUACGUG
rnacentral:rRNA from 1 species